UCAGGACGAACGCUGGCGGCGUGCUUAACACAUGCAAGUCGAACGAAGCAGCAGUGAAGGAGACUUCGGUCAAUGGAUCUGUUGACUUAGUGGCGGACGGGUGAGUAACGCGUGAGCAACCUGCCUUUCAGAGGGGGAUAACGUUUGGAAACGAACGCUAAUACCGCAUGACAUAGCUUUAUCGCAUGGUAGGGCUAUCAAAGGAGCAAUCCGCUGAGAGAUGGGCUCGCGUCCGAUUAGAUAGUUGGUGGGGUAACGGCCUACCAAGUCGACGAUCGGUAGCCGGACUGAGAGGUUGAACGGCCACAUUGGGACUGAGACACGGCCCAGACUCCUACGGGAGGCAGCAGUGGGGAAUAUUGCACAAUGGGCGCAAGCCUGAUGCAGCAACGCCGCGUGAGGGAAGACGGUUUUCGGAUUGUAAACCUCUGUCCUUGGUGACGAAAUCAUGACGGUAGCCGAGGAGGAAGCCACGGCUAACUACGUGCCAGCCGCCGC
rnacentral:rRNA from 1 species